AGAGUUUGAUUCUGGCUCAGGACGAACGCUGGCGGCGUGCUUAACACAUGCAAGUCGAACGGAAAGGNNUGCGGUGUGGGAUGGGCCCGCGGCCUAUCAGCUUGUUGGUGGGGUGAUGGCCUACCAAGGCGACGACGGGUAGCCGGCCUGAGAGGGUGUCCGGCCACACUGGGACUGAGAUACGGCCCAGACUCCUACGGGAGGCAGCAGUGGGGAAUAUUGCACAAUGGGCGCAAGCCUGAUGCAGCGACGCCGCGUGGGGGAUGACGGCCUUCGGGUUGUAAACCUCUUUCAGCAGGGACGAAGCGCAAGUGACGGUACCUGCAGAAGAAGCACCGGCCAACUACGUGCCAGCAGCCGCGGUAAUACGUAGGGUGCGAGCGUUGUCCGGAAUUACUGGGCGUAAAGAGCUCGUAGGUGGUUUGUCGCGUUGUUCGUGAAAACCGAGGGCUUAACUCUCGGCGUGCGGGCGAUACGGGCAGACUAGAGUACUGCAGGGGAGACUGGAAUUCCUGGUGUAGCGGUGGAAUGCGCAGAUAUCAGGAGGAACACCGGUGGCGAAGGCGGGUCUCUGGGCAGUAACUGACGCUGAGGAGCGAAAGCGUGGGGAGCGAACAGGAUUAGAUACCCUGGUAGUCCACGCCGUAAACGGUGGGUACUAGGUGUGGGUUUCCUUCCUUGGGAUCCGUGCCGUAGCUAACGCAUUAAGUACCCCGCCUGGGGAGUACGGCCGCAAGGCUAAAACUCAAAGAAAUUGACGGGGGCCCGCACAAGCGGCGGAGCAUGUGGAUUAAUUCGAUGCAACGCGAAGAACCUUACCUGGGUUUGACAUGCACAGGACGCGUCUAGAGAUAGGCGUUCCCUUGUGGCCUGUGUGCAGGUGGUGCAUGGCUGUCGUCAGCUCGUGUCGUGAGAUGUUGGGUUAAGUCCCGCAACGAGCGCAACCCUUGUCUCAUGUUGCCAGCGCGUAAUGGCGGGGACUCGUGAGAGACUGCCGGGGUCAACUCGGAGGAAGGUGGGGAUGACGUCAAGUCAUCAUGCCCCUUAUGUCCAGGGCUUCACACAUGCUACAAUGGCCGGUACAAAGGGCUGCGAUGCCGCAAGGCUUAGCGAAUCCUUUUAAAGCCGGUCUCAGUUCGGAUCGGGGUCUGCAACUCGACCCCGUGAAGUCGGAGUCGCUAGUAAUCGCAGAUCAGCAACGCUGCGGUGAAUACGUUCCCGGGCCUUGUACACACCGCCCGUCACGUCAUGAAAGUCGGUAACACCCGAAGCCAGUGGCCUAACCCUUUGGGAGGGAGCUGUCGAAGGUGGGAUCGGCGAUUGGGACGAAGUCGUAACAAGGUAGCCGUACCGGAAGGUGCGGCUG
rnacentral:rRNA from 1 species